UGGGGAAUUUUCCGCAAUGGGCGAAAGCCUGACGGAGCAAUACCGCGUGAGGGAAGACUGCCUAUGGGUUGUAAACCUCUUUUUUCAGGGAGGAAUAAAAUGACGUGUACCUGAAGAAUAAGCAUCGGCUAACUCCGUGCCAGCAGCCGCGGUAAGACGGAGGAUGCAAGUGUUAUCCGGAAUCACUGGGCGUAAAGCGUCUGUAGGUGGUUUAAUAAGUCAACUGUUAAAUCUUGAGGCUCAACUUCAAAAUCGCAGUCGAAACUAUUAGACUAGAGUAUAGUAGGGGUAAAGGGAAUUUCCAGUGGAGCGGUGAAAUGUGUAGAUAUUGGAAAGAACACCGAUGGCGAAAGCACUUUACUGGGCUAUUACUAACACUCAGAGACGAAAGCUAGGGUAGCAAAUGGGAUUAGAUACCCCAGUAGUCCUAGCCGUAAACUAUGGAUACUAGAUGUUGAACAGAUCGACCUGUGCAGUAUCAAAGCUAACGCGUUAAGUAUCCCGCCUGGGAAGUAUGCUCGCAAGAGUG
rnacentral:rRNA from 1 species